CAGUCGAGCGAGCGGAACCACAGAUUUACUUCGGUAAUGACGUUGGGAAAGCGAGCGGCGGAUGGGUGAGUAACACGUGGGGAACCUGCCCCUAAGUCUGGGAUACCAUUUGGAAACAGGUGCUAAUACCGGAUAAUAAAGCGGAUCGCAUGAUCAGCUUUUGAAAGGCGGCGUAAGCUGUCGCUAAGGGAUGGCCCCGCGGUGCAUUAGCUAGUUGGUAAGGUAACGGCUUACCAAGGCGACGAUGCAUAGCCGAGUUGAGAGACUGAUCGGCCACAUUGGGACUGAGACACGGCCCAAACUCCUAUGGGAGGCAGCAGUAGGGAAUCUUCCACAAUGGACGCAAGUCUGAUGGAGCAACGCCGCGUGAGUGAAGAAGGUUUUCGGAUCGUAAAGCUCUGUUGUUGGUGAAGAAGGAUAGAGGUAGUAACUGGCCUUUAUUUGACGGUAAUCAACCAGAAAGUCACGGCUAACUACGUGCCAGCAGCCGCGGUAAUACGUAGGUGGCAAGCGUUGUCCGGAUUUAUUGGGCGUAAAGCGAGCGCAGGCGGAAAAGUAAGUCUAAUGUGAAAGCCCUCGGCUUAACCGAGGAACUGCAUCGGAAACUGUUUUUCUUGAGUGCAGAAGAGGAGAGUGGAACUCCAUGUGUAGCGGUGGAAUGCGUAGAUAUAUGGAAGAACACCAGUGGCGAAGGCGGCUCUCUGGUCUGCAACUGACGCUGAGGCUCGAAAGCAUGGGUAGCGAACAGGAUUAGAUACCCUGGUAGUCCAUGCCGUAAACGAUGAGUGCUAAGUGUUGGGAGGUUUCCGCCUCUCAGUGCUGCAGCUAACGCAUUAAGCACUCCGCCUGGGGAGUA
rnacentral:rRNA from 1 species